UCUGAUUUAACAUAUAUUAAUGUGAAAGAUUGUAAAUCUUUUAAAAGUUAGUCAACUAGUCAGGA
rnacentral:tRNA from 1 species